rnacentral:rRNA from 1 species
CGUCUGCCGCAGCUUACACAUGCAGUCGAGCGGUAGCACAGGAGAGCUUGCUCUCUGGGUGACGAGCGGCGGACGGGUGAGUAAUGUCUGGGAAACUGCCUGAUGGAGGGGGAUAACUACUGGAAACGGUAGCUAAUACCGCAUAACGUCGCAAGACCAAAGAGGGGGACCUUCGGGCCUCUUGCCAUCAGAUGUGCCCAGAUGGGAUUAGCUAGUAGGUGGGGUAAUGGCUCACCUAGGCGACGAUCCCUAGCUGGUCUGAGAGGAUGACCAGCCACACUGGAACUGAGACACGGUCCAGACUCCUACGGGAGGCAGCAGUGGGGAAUAUUGCACAAUGGGCGCAAGCCUGAUGCAGCCAUGCCGCGUGUGUGAAGAAGGCCUUCGGGUUGUAAAGCACUUUCAGCGAGGAGGAAGGUGGUGAGCUUAAUACGUUCAUCAAUUGACGUUACUCGCAGAAGAAGCACCGGCUAACUCCGUGCCAGCAGCCGCGGUAAUACGGAGGGUGCAAGCGUUAAUCGGAAUUACUGGGCGUAAAGCGCACGCAGGCGGUUUGUUAAGUCAGAUGUGAAAUCCCCGGGCUCAACCUGGGAACUGCAUUUGAAACUGGCAAGCUAGAGUCUCGUAGAGGGGGGUAGAAUUCCAGGUGUAGCGGUGAAAUGCGUAGAGAUCUGGAGGAAUACCGGUGGCGAAGGCGGCCCCCUGGACGAAGACUGACGCUCAGGUGCGAAAGCGUGGGGAGCAAACAGGAUUAGAUACCCUGGUAGUCCACGCUGUAAACGAUGUCGAUUUGGAGGUUGUGCCCUUGAGGCGUGGCUUCCGGAGCUAACGCGUUUAAAUCGACCGCCUGGGGAGUACGGCCGCAAGGUUAAAACUCAAAUGAAUUGACGGGGGCCCGCACAAGCGGUGGAGCAUGUGGUUUAAUUUCGAUGCAACGCGAAGAACCCUUACCUACUUCUUGACAUCCAGAGAACUUAGCAGAGAUGCUUUGGUGCCUUCGGGAACUCUUGAGACAGUUGCUGCAUGCUUUCGUCAGCUCGUGUUUGUGAAUGUUGGUUUAGUCCCGCAACGAGCGCACCCUUUAUUCCUUUGUUGCCAGCGGUUCGCCGGUACUUCAAGGAGACUGCCAGUGAUAAACUUGAGAGGUGGGGAUUGACGUUCAAGUUCAAUUCAUGCCUUACGAGUUAGGGCUACACGUGCUUACAUUUGGCGUUAUCAGCGGAGCCGAAUCUUCUCGCGCGAGAGAGACCCAGCGCGGUAUC